AACUGUAAGAAGAAAAACAAUGUUCGUAUAAUGGCAAAGUUUUUCGACCGUAUGUAUACAAGAACUAAGCAAGUUAAAAAACCCAACUCAUGCUACUGACUCUCUCUGUCCCUAAAACCCCUGACCCCUCCACGAAAAACCCUAGAUCUAGCAUCGUCCUCGCCACCGACCCCUUGUUCCAUCUUGGGGUCGGUGCAGCCCCUCCUUCUUCUUUCCCUGCACCCCCUUGGCCUAUCCUUCUGUAUUUUCAUAUACCAGCGCCUCCCCUUCUCCACCAAAUUUGGGGGUACCCAACCUUUGGCUUGGAUGGCGUUUUUGCUCCUUUUCGAGGUAUUAUCACCUUAAUUCGGAGCUAGGCACAGGUUCUCCUUUGCCUUGGCGUGUUGGGUUGUUGGUGGACCGGAUCCACCCUUCUAGUUUGUUUCCAUGGUGGUUCCCACGGCUGAGCCGUCGUACUUGGUCCGAUCUGUGGCGAUAACGUCGUUUUGGUCAGAUUUGCGGCUAACCCUCCUUGUUUGACCUGUAGUUACCGCGCGUCUGCCUUUAUUGUGACAAAUUUAUAUCAGUAGUUCUCAGUGGUUUUUGUUUUUAUGGUGGUCAUCUAGGGGUUCUACUCUUUUUAUGUCUGUGUAAAUUAUCUCCAGAUCAAACUAUCGAUCACUAGAGAAUUUACCUAUUUGAUACCUCUUAAUUGUAUUUGUUGAUCAAUGAAAUCUUAUACCUCUUAAUUGUAUUUGUUGAUCAAUGAAAUCUUACUAUCGUUUCUUCUUUUUUUUUUCUUUUAAAAAAAAAAAAAAAAAAAGCACUAGGGAAGUUUAAGAUUUUUGUACAUAUGAGGGAUUGCUUGCUAAAACCGGUUUUUUGAACCAAUAAUUCAAUACAUUAUUGUUGACGUGUAUAUGUGGGUAGCUAGAUUUACAUUGGGAGACAUAACAUCCAAGAUGUCUAAC
rnacentral:lncRNA from 1 species